AUGUCUUAUGUGACUAAGCAGGCGUGGUUGCUGGCCGCGACCUCACACACUGCCGAAGUCUCCGGACUAAAGCAGAAACUGAAGCGGGCCGAGGAGGAGCUCGGCCAAGCGAGGAAGCAGCUGGAAGAUCAGCAAGGAGCGACGACCGAGGUCGAGGCCCUUAAAAAUGCCCUGGCCGAAACCGAGGGGAAAGCUGUUAAGGAGCAAGCUGCCCGUAAGACGCUCAAGGCCAGGCUUAACGAGGUUCAGCAGGAGCUUCAGGAUGUUGUUAAAAAAUGUGAGACCUUGGAGGGUGAUGUUUCGGCUCGAGACACCGAACUCGCCAAGGCUCGCCAAAUCGCAAGAGGCCCGGGUUGA
rnacentral:rRNA from 1 species